UGGAGGAACAACCCCAGUGGCGGCGGCAGCUCUGGAAACCUGGUUUCAGCCCCUGCAGUAACUGCGGAGCUCUCCGUCCAAAGGGGCCUGGAUGCUCCGGGGCGGG
rfam:Canis lupus familiaris chromosome X, whole genome shotgun sequence.